UGAGAUUUCUUGCAUGGCAGAAGAAGGGGGUUGGAUUGAGUGGCCCUUGCAGUCUCUUCCAACUCUAUUAUUCUAUGAUUGCUAGAUGACCUCCACAAGGAACUAGACAGGUGGAGUGUGUGCCUGAUGGUUCUGCUAGACCUCUGAGUGACUUUCAAUACCAUCAACCCUCAUAUUCUUCUGGGACGUGAGAUGGGACUCUUAGGCAUUGGAUUCAGUCUUGGAGGGGUAGACUCAGAAGGUGGAGCUAGGUGAUGCCUGUUAGAAAAGUUGGCGACUAGCAUGUGAUGUCUCCAGGGCUCACUUCUGUCCCCCAUGCUGUUUAAUAUUUACAUUAAACAACUUGGAGACACCAUCCAGAGGUUUGAGGUUCAGUAUCAUCAGUAUGCUGCUGACACACAAUUCUAUCUCUCCUUUCCAUCUGACUCCAAGAAAGUUGUUUCUGUACUAAACCAGUGUCUGCUAUCAGUAAUGAAAUGGAUGAGGGUGAACAAACUGAAAUUUAAUAUAGCCAAAACACAGGUGCCCCUGUUCAGUCAGAAGGCAGAGAAUAGAGUUUGAAACUGUGGUGGAUGGAGUUACACACACACAUAUACACACAGACACAAACCCCAAACUCUCAGACUUGCAUCUUGGGUGUUCUCCUGGACUUGAAUCUGAGCCUGGCCAGGAGUGCAUUUGCACAGCUAAAACUAGUGUGCCAGCUACUCCCAUUCCUUGAGAAGCCAGAUCUGGUGAUGGUGAUACAAGCUUUGAUUACAUCCCCUUUUGACUAAGUAUGUUUUAAAUCUUUUUAACUCUUUUUAAUUGUGUUUUAAAAAUAAUAUUGUUAUUUAAUUAUUUUUUAACUUUUGUAAGCUAGUGUUUUAGCUUAAUCUUUUAAAAAUUAUUAUAAGCCAUCUCGGGAGAACAAAUAAGGACAUUUCUAACCAUGACGUCGCUUCCUUCUGCAUAUCUGCUCAUGUCAUCCCUAAUGUGAAACAUCUUUUUUUUAAAAAAUCCCUCAUGUUUGACAGGUUUCCUCUUUUGUUUCACAUUUCUGUUGGCUCAGGAGCUCUUGAAUGGCCCGUCACUUUAGAAAACAGCUAAGUUAAGUUGGUCAGCGUUAUUCAGGCUGUAACAUUACGCUUCUGGGCAGAGCAAAGCAACCCGUCUUUGAAAACAGUUUCCCAUUUCCUCUUGGCUCUGCCUAAUUCUGGGGAAUAAGUCGGAGCACAGAUCUUCAGCUGGAGCCAAAUACACACUUUUCCUAUUCUUCCCAGAACUAAAGGAAUUGUUCACAGAGAAUUAGUUUUUGCAACAUGUUGCAUUUUUCUCUCUUGUGAAGGUGUAAUUAAGAGGGCUUCAAAGUGCAACCCUGGCACUUCACAUUUUGCUUUCUUGGGGUAGGUUACACAUGAGGAUAGGCCUAACUGGCUUUGCAUGGUGGCUGUGAGUGGAGCUGUUUGUGCUCAGUGUCCCACAGUGGUAAUGGAACCAGGCUCACGGGGUGGAAGUGCCAAACCCUUUUGGUUUGUGGGGACACUGUGACUUCAUCUUUUCUGUUGCCCUGCUGGACUUUGUUACAGCCACCACAAUAGCAAGGGGUGGGGAAACCAAUUUCCCCAACAACAUUGCAGGAUUGUGAACUGUUCGUUUUGCAACACAAAGUACUUUGGACUGGCUUGCUCUGAAAUGGGAAAUGAAUUUACAAAAAACAACCCUGUUCCUUUGGAGGUAACGAUGAAGAUCCUAUUAGAAUAGGAGGACAUGAUGCAUCGCAGAGGCUCAAAGGCUGCAGGGACUGCAAUGGAAACCAAAGCAGAAACCGUCUCUGUCAGGACACAAAGCUUUCUGGCCAGAUCCUGAUGGCUUGUUGUUCCACAACACGAGUCAAAAAAUAACUUACACUGCCGGCACAUCAGCAGAGGAUUCUACUCCAAAACGGAGGCCAUAGCGAAGCGCUUCAGCAUCUCUGGGGCCCAGUUACGGGUCUACCUCCAUUACCAGCCAUCCUACUACCAUCUCCAUGUCCAUUUCACUGCCCUAAGCUACGAUGCGCCCGGAUGCACUGUGGAGCGAGCCCACCUCCUCUCCGACGUAAUAGAAAACCUGGAGUAUGAUUCGCAGUACUAUCAGAAGCGGACAUUGGCCUUCGCCCUCCGGGCUGAUGAACCUCUGCUGAAGAAAUUCCAGGAAGCUGGUCAAGUCCAAACCCCUUGAGGAAAGCCAGCUAGGCGUUUAGACAUUUUCUAGUGAUCAUUUUGUAUUUUCAGUCUUGAAGAGACUGGUCCAUGUUUUGUAAAACAUAAAACUGAAUUUCCAUUCCUGUUGCAUUUGGAGCAUUUUUGUUCAUUCUUUGUAUCAAUAAAAAACAGUGUUCUGGA